rnacentral:misc_RNA from 1 species
GGAAAUCCUGUUACCUGUUGGCCUGUUGUAAAAGAAACAAAUCACAAGUAAUUUAGUGUGUAAUGAUAAACUUCCAGGCCAAUCGUCUUACGAUUUGUACACAAAUGACUAAAUACUUUAGAAACAGGUAGGAAAGUUGAAAUGACUCCAGUCAAUCAUCAUAUACCCUAGCAACAACCAGAUAGAAAUACUACAUGGAGAAAUAAAGAAACACAACAUUUUGUUAUGAAGAGAACCAGCUCUAACUUGCAUUGGAUUAUGCAAAGGCUUCAAAUAUCCCUAGUGACCCAAAAUGACAAAACUGCAGAAAUUCGCACCAUUGCAUUACAGUUAUCAUCUUCAUUUGGAUCAGUUACCAAUAAGAUUAGAAAUAUAGAAGGAAAUAAUAACAACAACUAAACUUUAAUCCCAAA